rnacentral:lncRNA from 1 species
CAGAAGCACACUGAUGACAUUUAUAAAAUUAUUUAAAAUAAAAAAAUUUAUACUACUUUCAACUUAAAAAUAAGUACAGACUGCAGCUCUAACUGUGGUAUAAUAAUAAUUUUAAUAAUAAUAAUAAUAGUUUUCAUCUUUAUUUAAAAGGGAAUAAAACAGAGCCGACAAAAAUAUUGUAUAUUCCUUUCCUAUUACUGUAUUCGUUUUUUACAGAAAUAGCUGAAGUGGGCAGAGCAAGAAGAAAGAGACAGCAAGGGGGGAUAGAAGAUGAACAGAAUCAAUUUUCAACCAUUGGAACGUAACCAUCUGCUGACCUCCCGAUCACUACUUUGAAGAAGGAGCAUUGAUGCGUGCAACAAUCCUGCAGAAACCUUGCAGGACAAAAAUAAAUACUUUAAUGGAAGUCAACCUAAAAAGGGCUCCGGUAGUCGAUGGCAAGCUACAUGAACAGGAUUCGAACUUUGGUGAUUUCCCGAUUAUAUUGGCAGCGCUUAGCCUGCUGGACCACUCAGAGCCCCUAGGUAUGGUAUUGUAUUUUUAUAAAUGUAAAAUGAUUUAGCAAACAAUUAAGAACGGGUUACAAAUACGUGCUGUACUAAAAUGUAUAUCUAUAGCUAUAAGCUUCGUAAGAGUCUGAAUAAUGACUUUUUAGAAGUUCAGUUCUACUGAAAACAACAAAAACCUGAAUGUACAUGUCAGCUAUGGUUACCUUGAGGCCAUUUUUCCUACUAUACAGCUGACUCUGUCAACACUUAGGUAAAACACACAGAGGCUUAAACAUUAAAAGAGUAUAUAAAGUGCUAAAUUAAUGAAUAAAAACA